GUAAAUAUAGUUUAAACAAAACCUUAGAUUGUGAUUCUAAAAAUAGGAGUUAAAAACCCCUUACUUACC
rnacentral:tRNA from 1 species